UUUUAAAGAUGGCUGCGUUCUCCUAUUCCGGCUUCAUAUCAAGUGGCGCUGUCCUUUUUCGUCUUUUUGCUGGACUAAAGAUGUGCCGGAAGUACAAGCAUGAGUGCUUCAUUGGUAAUCUGCCUGCCUCUGGGCAUCAUGAUACAGCAUAGCGUCCAUCACUGGUGCCUGGCUCAGUGCUGCAUCAUCUCAAGCUUCUCACACCAACAAGUGAGACAUCUGUAAGGCUGCGUGCUGGAAAACUCCCUCUACAUUCACCUCCUGCUAUCUAAGGGACGUCUUGCAGAGCAACUUGGCACUUAGCAAGGCAGUCCUACUGUCAGCAGUGCAGAGGUCAAAGGAACUGUUUUCAGACCGAACAAGGGGACCGU